rnacentral:rRNA from 1 species
GAUGAACGCUAGCGGGAGGCCUAACACAUGCAAGCCGAGCGGUAUUGUUUCUUCGGAAAUGAGAGAGCGGCGUACGGGUGCGUAACACGUGUGCAACCUGCCUUUAUCUGGGGGAUAGCCUUUCGAAAGGAGGAUUAAUACUCCAUAAUAUAUUGAACGGCAUCGUUUAAUAUUGAAAGCUCCGGCGGAUAGAGAUGGGCACGCGCAAGAUUAGCUAGUUGGUGAGGUAACGGCUCACCAAGGCGAUGAUCUUUAGGGGGCCUGAGAGGGUGAUCCCCCACCCUGGUACUGAGACACUGAACAGACUCCUACGGGAGGCAGCAGUGAGGAAUAUUGGUCAAUGGGUGCAAGCCUGAACCAGCCAUCCCGCGUGAAGGACGACUGCCCUAUGGGUUGUAAACUUCUUUUGUAUAGGGAUAAACCUACCCUCGUGAGGGUAGCUGAAGGUACUAUACGAAUAAGCACCGGCUAACUCCGUGCCAGCCGCCGCAGUAA